CUAGCUGUGGCCUUUUGGCUAAGAUAAAAUGUAGUAUCUGUUCUUAUCAGUUUAAUAUCUGAUACAUCCCUUAUCUGGGGACCAUACAUUGAUUUUUGGAACAGAGGGAUGGAAUAGGGGCUAAAAAUGUUAGGGCACUACAAUGGCGCGGUGGUAGAGUUGCUGCCUCACAGCGCCAGGGACCC